CCAGGUGGUGCCGGCGGCCGCGGCGGUUCCUGGGACUCAGAGAGCCGGCUGCGAGGAGAAAGCAGCUUCUCGUCUAUCCCGGUCUGAGAAGGCGGAGGCUUUUCCGGCUGCUCUUCCAGGGAAUACAACUGGGACGGUGGUGGAAUUGAGGGAAGAAGCAGAAAAGCUCUAGAAGAGGACUGGAGGAGAAGCAGGAUGACUACAGACCCCAUGAUGCACAUGGAAAUGAGCAUGAAGCUGCAGCACUUGCUCCGAGCCAUGUGCAUAUGAAAGCACACAAUAAUCUCUUAAGAACUGAAGAAAUCUUGGAACAAAGAAAAAGAGUGAAGAAAAGCAUUCAGAAAAAGGGAAGAAAUGUGUGUAGUCCCUCUACUUAAGGAAAGGAUCGGAGGUGGGAAGAUCUUCCUUCAACAAUUUAGAUCAACAUUUGUUAGGUAUAUGUGGUUUGCCACAUAUGUUGUGGGCCAUAUGUGUUGAGGAUGCAGUAAUCAGAAAGACUGAGUCUCAGCUAUUAAGGAGAUCACAGUUUGGCAGCAAAUAUUAUAGAAUGUGGUGGCUGUUCUAACAGACAUCAGUGCUAUGGAAGCAGAGAGGAAGAAGUUAAUAGUGUCUAAGAACCUAGAAGGGAUGAAGAUGAAAAUUGAGAUUUGAAACGUGAGAAAGUCAUUAAGACAAGGAUGACUUAAAGCUUCUGCUUCAAGUUUACUUCCAGCCUGGCAAGGAGUGAGUCUUCCAAGCACAACCACCCAGUGUCCAAGGAGUCUGGAACACCUUUCUCAUCUCUACUGCAUGUACUCCUCCCACACCCACCAAGAAGAAAGGAAGCCAGGAAGAGUGGACAGAUCCAGAGCCACAGAGGGUGAUGAACGAUGUAGAUGUAUCAAUCCUGAGGCUAAACAGUAAUUGGGCAAAGUUUUGGUGAGACACUCCCAUUGCCUCUGAUGACAAGGAAUGUUUUCUCUUGAAAGGCUUAAAAUUGGCAGAAUGCGGUGGCUCAAACCUAUAAUCCCAGCGCUUUGGGAGGCUGAGGCAGGUGGAUGAAUUGAGCUGAAAAGUUCAAGAUCAGCCUAGGCAACAUGGUGAAAGCUUGUUUCUACAAAAAAUUAAAAAAAAAAAAAAAAUAGCCAGGUAUGGUGGCAUGUGCCUGUAGUUCCAGCUACUUAGGAGGCUGAGGAGGGAAGAUAGCGUGAGCCCAAAAGGUGGAGGUUGCAGUGUCACUGAACUCCAGCCUGGUCAACAGAGCCAGACCCUGCCUAAAAAAAAAAGGCAGUGGGGCGGGGAAGGCUUAAAAUCAAUGUCAUUGUCCUUUAUUUAAAAUGUUUUAGGCUGGGCGUAGUGGCUUACACCUGUAAUCCCAGCACUUAGGGAGACCGAGGCAGGAGAAUCACCUGAGGUCAGAAAUUCAAGACCAGCCUGGCCAACAUGACAAAACCCCAUCUCUACUAAAAAAUAAAAACAUUAGCCAGGUGUGGUGGUGCACACCUGUAAUCCCAGCUACUCUGGAGGCUAAGGCAGGGAGAACCGCUAGAACCUGGGAGGCAGAAGUUGCAGUGAGCCAAGAUCGCAUCGCUACACUCCCACCCUGGGCAACAGAGUGAAGCUCCAUCUCAAAAAAAAAAAAAAAGAUAGGUUUUACAUUUUAAAAUUUUAUUACAAAAGUAAUACAUGUAUUCAUGAAUGCCAAUUGGAAAACAAGUCAGCAAAACAUAGUAAGUACAACAUGGAUUCAUACUCCUACCUCCCAGGAAAAAAUCAGUGUUAGCAAAUAGAUUUCACAUUCACACCCCUCCAAAUUUAUCUAUGUGUACUUAGAUAUAACUUUCAUACAGCAAAGUAUAUACAAGUGUAUAGCUAGAUAAAAUCUCACAACAUAAACACAGCCAUAUGGCCACCAUUUAGAUUAAAAGAAAGACAGAAACACACAUAACUAACAUCCAGAAGUCCCCAUGAUGACCCUUCCAGCAGUUAUUCUCUCUUCUACAAAAGUAACACCAUGGGAGGAGGGAGGAAAGGGGGUGGUGACUGCUUAAAAGUUCAGGAACCCAGCACUUUGGGGGGCCGAGGCGGAUGGACCACAAGGUCAAGAGAUCGAGACCAUCCUGGUCAACAUGGUGAAACCCCCAUCUCUACUAAAAUACAAAAAAAUAGCUGGGCAUGGUGGCGCCUGCCUGUAAUCCCAGCUACUCAGGAGGCUGAGGCAGAAUUGCCUGAACCCAGGAGGCGGAGGUUGCGGUGAGCCGAGAUCACGCCAUUGCACUCCAGCCUGGGUAAUAAGAGUGAAACUCCAUCUCAAAAAAAAAAAAAAAAAAAAAAGUUCAGGAACUAGACAGUGGUAAUGGUUAUACAACUUAUGAAUGUGCUGAAUGCCACUGAGUCGUACACUUUAAAGUAUCAGAUUUUAUGUUAUGUGUAUUUUAUCACAAUUUUUUUAAAAUGAAGGUAAAAUUAACUACGGUCUUCUAAUAGCAUAGAUCAACUUUGCCUGCUUAACUUUUAUAAAUGGAAUCAUAAUCUUUUGUGUCUGUUUUUUGUUUUUUUGAGAUGGAGUUUCACUCUUGUUGCCCAGGCUGGAGUGCAAUGGCACAACCUCGGCUCAUUGCAACCUCUGCCUCCCAGGUUCAAGCAAUCCUUCUGCCCCAGCCUCCUGGGUAGCUGGGAUUACAGGCCUAUGCCACCAUGCCUGGCUACUAUUUUGAAUUUUUAGUAGAGACAGGUUUUCACCAUGUUGGCCAGGCUGGUCUCAAACUCCUGACCUCAGGUGAUCCACCUGCCUCAGCCUCCCAAAGCACUGGGAUUACAAGUGGGAGCAACCACACCUGGCUUACUAAAAAUAACAAAAAUUAGCUGAGUAUGGUGGCACACACCUGUAGUCGGAGGCUGGGGCAGGAGAAUUGCUUGAACCUGGGAGGCAGAGGUUGCAGUGAGCCGAGAUGGCACCACUGCACUCGAGUCUGAGCAACAGAGCAAGAUUAUGUCUCAAAAAAAAAGAAGAAGAAGAAGAAGAUAAUGGCCCCUGUGGGAAGCUUUGGCAUGAUUUGUGGUACAGAGGAGAGGCUUUUUUUUUUAAAAAAAAAGAGGCUUUUUUUUUUUAAAGCAUGUUAGAAUCAUGAACACUGCUGAAUAUAGUUGUAGUUCAUUCAUCUUUAUUGUUGUGGACUAUUCCAGUGUAUGAAUAUACUGUCAUUUAUCAAUUUCACCAUUGAUGGGUAUUUGGGUUGUUUCCUAGUUGGACUAUUAAAAAUCACACUGCGGUGAACACUCUUGUUCACACUUUUGGUAUACAGAUACAGUCAUGUACCAUGUAAUGACUUCUCCGUCAACAGCAGAUUGCAAAAUACAAAGGUGGUCCCCAUAAAAUUGUAACACCAUAUUUUUGCUGUACCUUUCCUAUAUUUAGAUAGAUACACGAAUACAUAUCAUUGUGUUUCAACUGCCUACAGUAAUGGCAGAAAUUCCAGUGGGCACUGGGGAUGCAGUCACUGUAUUGAGUACAGCAUAACAUGCUGUACAAGUUUGUAGCCUAGGAGCCAUAGUCUAGACCCUACAGGCCAGGUGUGUAGCAGCUACACCAUCCUGGGAUUGUGUAAAUACACUCUAUGAUGUUCACACAACAAAAAAAUCACUGAGACACAUUUUUGAGAAUGUAUCCCAUUGUCAAUUGACACAUGACUGUAUAUGCAUUUCUGUUGGGUACAUAACUAAAUCAUAUAUUUUUUAAUGGAGCAUACUGUAAUAUAGCCUUGUAACCACCUUUCUUUUUAAAAUUUUUUAAAUCUUCAGUUCACUUCAGUCUCAUCUUUUUUAUUUACUAUUUCUCAAACUCUCCAUACCAAUAAGUAUUUUCGAUAACUAUUUUUCACAGCUAUAUAGUGUUCCCUUUUAGGCAAGUCUGUGCACAUACCUUUUCUUUCCAAGUAAAAUUGCUGGGUUAAAGUUUUAAUGUUUUUUGAAUAUUAAUUACUAAACUGACUUCCAGAAGUGUUGCUAUUACCAGGAUUACCCUGGGGUCUAGGGCAACAGCACCAAUGACCAACACCUCUACAACUCUUUCCCUUCUUGUCCCUUUCCUUUUUUGAGUCAGAGUCUCACACUAUCACCCAGGCUGGAGUGCAGUGGUGCCAUCUUGGCUCGCUGCAACCUCUGCCUCCUGGGUUCAAGUGAUUCUCAAGUCUCAGGCUCCUGGGUAACUGGGACUACAGGCACCUGCCACCAUGCCUGGCUAAUUUUUGUAUUUUUAGUAGAGAUGGAGUUUCACCACAUUGGCCAGGCUGGUCUCAAACUCCUGACCUCAAGUGAUCUGCCCACCUCGGCCGUAAGGGGUGGAGCAAGAAUACAACAAAAGUAAUGAGUAGGAGCUAUCCUAUAAGGAGCCUCUCCUCUGUACCACAAAUCAUGCCAAAGCUUCCCACAGGGGCCAUUAUCUUCUUCUUCUUCUUCUUCUUCUUC